AUUGAACGCUGGCGGCAUGCUUUACACAUGCAAGUCGAACGGUAACAGGCCGCAAGGUGCUGACGAGUGGCGAACGGGUGAGUAAUGCAUCGGAACGUGCCCAGUCGUGGGGGAUAACUACUCGAAAGAGUAGCUAAUACCGCAUACGAUCUAUGGAUGAAAGCGGGGGACCGUAAGGCCUCGCGCGAUUGGAGCGGCCGAUGUCAGAUUAGGUAGUUGGUGGGGUAAAGGCUCACCAAGCCAACGAUCUGUAGCUGGUCCGAGAGGACGACCAGCCACACUGGGACUGAGACACGGCCCAGACUCCUACGGGAGGCAGCAGUGGGGAAUUUUGGACAAUGGGCGCAAGCCUGAUCCAGCAAUGCCGCGUGAAGGAAGAAGGCCUUCGGGUUGUAAAAUGCUUUUGUACGGAACGAAACGGCUCUGGUUAAUACCCGGGGCUAAUGACGGUACCGUAAGAAUAAGCACCGGCUAACUACGUG
rnacentral:rRNA from 1 species